rnacentral:rRNA from 1 species
AGAGUUUGAUCCUGGCUCAGGAUGAACGCUGGCGGCGUGCUUAACACAUGCAAGUCGAACGAUGAUCUCCAGCUUGCUGGGGGGAUUAGUGGCGAACGGGUGAGUAACACGUGAGUAACCUGCCCUUGACUCUGGGAUAAGCCUGGGAAACUGGGUCUAAUACUGGAUACGACCUUCCCACGCAUGUGGUGUUGGUGGAAAGCUUUUGUGGUUUUGGAUGGACUCGCGGCCUAUCAGCUUGUUGGUGGGGUAAUGGCCUACCAAGGCGACGACGGGUAGCCGGCCUGAGAGGGUGGACGGCCACACUGGGACUGAGACACGGCCCAGACUCCUACGGGAGGCAGCAGUGGGGAAUAUUGCACAAUGGGCGCAAGCCUGAUGCAGCGACGCCGCGUGAGGGAUGAAGGCCUUCGGGUUGUAAACCUCUUUCAGUAGGGAAGAAGCGAAAGUGACGGUACCUGCAGAAGAAGCGCCGGCUAACUACGUGCCAGCAGCCGCGGUAAUACGUAGGGCGCAAGCGUUAUCCGGAAUUAUUGGGCGUAAAGAGCUCGUAGGCGGUUUGUCGCGUCUGCCGUGAAAGUCCGGGGCUUAACUCCGGAUCUGCGGUGGGUACGGGCAGACUUGAGUGAUGUAGGGGAGACUGGAAUUCCUGGUGUAGCGGUGAAAUGCGCAGAUAUCAGGAGGAACACCGAUGGCGAAGGCAGGUCUCUGGGCAUUAACUGACGCUGAGGAGCGAAAGCAUGGGGAGCGAACAGGAUUAGAUACCCUGGUAGUCCAUGCCGUAAACGUUGGGCACUAGGUGU